rnacentral:rRNA from 1 species
UACGUAGGGGGGCUAGCGUUGUCCGGAAUCAUUGGGCGUAAAGAGCGUGUAGGCGGCCCGGUAAGUCCGCUGUGAAAGUCGGGGGCUCAACCCUCGAAUGCCGGUGGAUACUGUCGGGCUAGAGUGCGGAAGAGGCGAGUGGAAUUCCUGGUGUAGCGGUGAAAUGCGCAGAUAUCAAGAGGAACACCUGAGGUGAAGACGGGUUGCUGGGCCGACACUGACGCUGAGUGCGCGAAAGCCAGGGGAGCAAACGGG